GAGAAAAGCCCCAGGCCCGGGAUACCCAGGUGUUCAUUCAGUGAUCAGGACAGAAUACAGACAACUCACCAUGGAAUUUGUGCUGGGUUGGGUUUUCCUUCUUGCUCUUUUAAAAGGUGUCCAGUGUGAGGUGCAGCUGGUGGAGUCUGGGGGAGACCUGGUGAAGCCUGGGGGGUCCCUGAGACUCUCCUGUGCAGCCUCUGGAUUCACCUUCAGCAACUACUACAUGCACUGGGUCCGCCAGGCUCCAGGGAAGGGGCUGCAGUGGGUCGCACGUAUUAGCGAUACUGGUCGUAGCACAAGCUAUGCAGACUCUGUGAAGGGCAGAUUCACCAUCUCCAGAGACAACGGCAAGAACACGCUGUAUCUGCAGAUGAACAGCCUGAGAGCUGAGGACACAGCCGUGUAUUACUGUACAAGAUGAGGAAUGUGCCUUUGGGAAACAGAGGGGA